rnacentral:rRNA from 1 species
AUGCUAGAAAUGGUGUUGCCACUUGACAUUGGUGAUACCCUCCCUAACCUGGAAAGUCUUACCUUUGGCAGUAGCAUGCUUCAUGGUCAUAUCCCAGCUUCGCUAGGCAAUGCAACAAUGCUACAGCUUAUCGAUUUAUCAAAUAACAGUUUCGUUGGAGAAAUCCCUAGUUUUGGAAAGCUACUAAACCUAUCAGUACUAAACCUAGAGUAUAACAAGCUUGAAUCAGGGGACAGCCAAAGCUGGGAAUCUUUGUAUGGACUAACAAACUCUAGUCAAUUGUCUAUGCUCUUUUUAGAAAAUAAUCAGCUGCAAGGAGCCAUACCAGAUUCCGUUGGUAAGUUGUCAACUCAACUUACACACCUAGAACUGAGUGGAAACAAUCUAUCAGGAACAGUUCCUUUAAGCCUAGGAAACCUGAGUAGCAUAAUCGAUUUAGAUCUUAGCGAAAACAGUUUAACUGGUACAAUUGAAGGGUGGUUGGAGAGUCUAGGAAACCUACAAUCCUUAGAUAUUCAUGAAAAUAACUUCGCCGGGUCCAUUCCACCAUCUUUUGGCAACCUUUCAGGACUGACAAUACUUUCUUUAGCAAAAAACGAAUUUGAAGGUCCCAUACCUCCCAUAUUAGGAAAACUUUCACAACUCUCAAGGCUGGACCUUAGCUAUAAUAAUCUGCAAGGUGACAUACCUCCAAAAAUUAGUGAGCUUAAGCAACUCAUUGCACUAUCACUCUCUUCUAGCAGACUUUCUGGAAAAAUUCCUGAUAAUCUGGGCCAGUGUCAGGGCCUCAUAACCAUCCAAAUGGACCACAAUAAUCUCACGGGUGUCAUUCCAACCUCCUUAGGCAACCUUUUAAGCUUGGACAUGCUCAGCCUCUCCCAUAAUGAUUUAUCAGGUGCCAUCCCAACAGUUCUAAGUGACCUUCAAUCUCUCAGCAAGCUUGACCUUGGCUAUAAUAAUUUCCAAGGUGUCAUACCUCCAUAG